rnacentral:rRNA from 1 species
GAACGCUGGCGGCGUGCCUAACACAUGCAAGUCGUGCGUGAAAGGGCUUCGGCCUGAGUAAAGCGGCGCACGGGUGAGUAACGCGUGGAUGAUCUGCCCAUGAGUUGGGAAUAACGGCUGGAAACGGUCGCUAAUACCGAAUACGCUCCGAUUUCGAAUUUCGGGGGAAAGGUGGCCUCUGCUUGCAAGCUACCGCUCAUGGAUGAGUCCGCGUCCCAUUAGCUAGUUGGCGGGGUAAUGGCCCACCAAGGCGACGAUGGGUAGCCGACCUGAGAGGGUGAUCGGCCACACUGGGACUGGAACACGGCCCAGACUCCUACGGGAGG